rnacentral:rRNA from 1 species
UACGUAGGGUGCAAGCGUUGUCCGGAAUUAUUGGGCGUAAAGAGCUCGUAGGCGGCCAGUUGCGUCCGCUGUGAAAUCCCGGGGCUUAACCCCGGGCGUGCAGUGGAUACGGGCUGGCUGGAGGCAGGCAGGGGAGAACGGAAUUCCUGGUGUAGCGGUGAAAUGCGCAGAUAUCAGGAGGAACACCGGUGGCGAAGGCGGCUCUCUGGGCCUGUACUGACGCUGAGGAGCGAAAGCGUGGGGAGCGAACAGG